UACCCUAGCUGAAGGAAAAUGUAGAGGUCAAUGUUUUCUAAGACCUCCAUGGAAGAUAGGCAUUUAGGAUACUACAGAGGUGUGUCAUUCUCUGGUUCUACCCAUUCCCAAUACCCGAGGCUCUCCAGACUCCGCCCCCUCAACUUGACCCCACCCCAGCACGAGCUGUGAUAAAAACUUGAAGCUCUGGCCCAAGCCCUCAGGCCUUUAUUCAUAGCACCCACCUAGACUUGGGUAUCAGCUCCACCAACAAGGUCUCCCUCCACAGAAGCCGAAUCCCGGAGCUAUGUCUGAAAAGCAAAGCCCCAAGACCUCUGAAGCAGAAUGCAGUGCAAUGGACUUGCCAGAAUUCGAGGAUGAAGAAAACUGGCUUUUCAAAGUUCUGGGAUUCCAGCCUGGGCCGUCCUCUGCUCUGGAUGAUGACACCGACGAUCAGGCAGAUGAGCCACUGAGCGCUGCCGAAUUUCUUCACCUGCAAGAUAUUCUUCAGGAGGACAGAGUCAGCAGUACCGAUGAUGAGGACACUUGCCAAGCUA
rnacentral:sRNA from 1 species